rnacentral:rRNA from 1 species
GAUGAACGCUGACAGAAUGCUUAACACAUGCAAGUCAACUUGAACUUCGGUUUGGGUGGCGGCCGGGUGAGUAACGCGUAAAGAACUUGCCUCACAGAUAGGGACAACAUUUGGAAACGAAUGCUAAUACCUGAUAUUAUGAUUAUAUGGCAUCGUAUAAUUAUGAAAGCUAUAUGCGCUGUGAGAGAGCUUUGCGUCCCAUUAGCUAGUUGGAGAGGUAACGGCUCACCAAGGCGAUGAUGGGUAGCCGGCCUGAGAGGGUGAUCGGCCACAAGGGGACUGAGACACGGCCCUUACUCCUACGGGAGGCAGCAGUGGGGAAUAUUGGACAAUGGACCAAGAGUCUGAUCCAGCAAUUCUGUGUGCACGAUGAAGUUUUUCGGAAUGUAAAGUGCUUUCAGUUGGGAAGAAAAAAAUGACGGUACCAACAGAAGAAGUGACGGCUAAAUACGUG